AAAUUUUAAAAUUUGGAUCCCAAGAAACUCCUUGCUAAAUGUAUAUGACAUCUUGUAAUUAGACAUAUUGAUGUCUAGGUGAAAUGAAGGAAUUCACUUACUAACAUAUGCCAUGAUCCUGAUUUAAUAUUGGGGGAGAAGGCAUGUCCUCUGUUUUUUCCACAGAAUGCGGCAGAAGAUAUGCUGACUGUGCUUGCUGAAUGCCCAGACCAUGGUAACAUAAGAGCUAUAUUGGGUAUAUGUUCUUGACUUACCUCAAUUGUUAAAUGUCCCAGGUUAGAUAAAUUGCCUAGCUUCAAGCUUUUAGACUUUGUGGGACAGAACAUGGAGACUGUUAAGCUAGCUUAGGAAAAAUUAAUUAGAAGAGUUAAAAUGACUCUUCUCCUUAUUGUGCUCAGCUGACUCAACCAUAGACUGGUCUAGAAAUAAUUCCAAUUUUGAAGAUUCCAAUUUUGAAGAUGGCUAACAAUCUUCAGCCAGCUGUGUUAAUUUAACAUAUAGUCUCCACUUUUCCUGAGAAGUAACAGCAUAUCUCUUGAUUCACAAGGCUACCUCUCCCACCUCAGAGGCCAAGCUUUGUGUCCUUAAAGUUGUUAAUUUACAACUGAAUUGGAUACUUCUGGGACAAGUUAAUCCUAUUCCACCUUUAACUCUUGACCUUGUCUGUUAAGCAGACUGGCUGUCUCCACCCAGGCUCACCUGGAUGGAGAGAUUACAUGUCUGUUAAAGACACUUGCAGACCCCCCUGGCUUCAAAACUUACACAAGUGGAUCUCCAAAGAGGGAGCCACAUAGAACUCAGAUCUAUGUGUGUUUGUUUAUGAACAAACAUGGGUACCAGCGAGACGUGCGAGGCAAAGCACUGCAUGGGGAGGUGAAUUUCUGCUUCUGAGUCCCCAGGAAGUACACCUAAUUGCAUAGGGGUUAACGUCGAGAGGCUGUCCUUAAAAUAAUAAGGGAGCCUAUUACCCCUCCUCUGAAAAAGACGUUAUACAAUAUUUAAGAGGAAUUACGGUCAAUGCUUCCCCUCCUGGUUAAGGCCCGCCUUCUUAUGAAGGAUAUUUAUCCACUUGUUUUCUACCUCCUCGUGUUCAAAUUAAUAAAAAAAGGGAGGACAUGUACAGAGCCAUAUUGGGGCAGUCUUGCACUUGGUCAGAGUUUGACUUUGGUCAAGGUUAACUUCUCCCAGUUAGCCAGGAUCCUGCUCCACCUAGGGUGGAGUGCACAUAGUAAAGGUUAAGUUCAUUGUUCUUCCUGGUAUAGGGAUUCCUGAAUUAAACAGGUGACCCACCCAGCUGCCGGAGCAGUCAAGACGAAGACCUCCAAGAGAAGCUAGACAACUUCCACCGGAACUCAGCCUGGAGUCUGGGGGGAGGGUUUGCCCAAACUGUUAAAAGGUCCGGCGCCAUUAAAGUUUACGGCUUUGAUCAGUGAA